rnacentral:rRNA from 1 species
UACGUAGGGUGCGAGCGUUAAUCGGAAUUACUGGGCGUAAAGCGUGCGCAGGCGGUCUGUUAAGUCCGAUGUGAAAUCCCCGGGCUUAACCUGGGAACUGCAUUGGUGACUGGCAGGCUUUGAGUGUGGCAGAGGGAGGUAGAAUUCCACGUGUAGCAGUGAAAUGCGUAGAGAUGUGGAGGAAUACCGAUGGCGAAGGCAGCCUCCUGGGCCAACACUGACGCUCAUGCACGAAAGCGUGGGGAGCAAACAGG